GGGGAUAUAGCUCAAUCAGUACAGUACUUGCCUAGCAUGCACAAGGCCUGGGUUAAAUCCCCAGCACCACCA
rnacentral:tRNA from 1 species